rnacentral:piRNA from 1 species
UGUGGAUAUACAGAAAGAUAU